rnacentral:rRNA from 1 species
GACGAACGCUGGCGGCGUGCCUAAUACAUGCAAGUUGAGCGCUGAAGGUUGGUACUUGUCCCGACUGGAUGAGCAGCGAACGGGUGAGUAACGCGUGGGGAAUCUGCCUUUGAGCGGGGGACAACAUUUGGAAACGAAUGCUAAUACCGCAUAAAAACUUUAAACACAAGUUUUAAGUUUGAAAGAUGCAAUUGCAUCACUCAAAGAUGAUCCCGCGUUGUAUUAGCUAGUUGGUGAGGUAAAGGCUCACCAAGGCGAUGAUACAUAGCCGACCUGAGAGGGUGAUCGGCCACAUUGGGACUGAGACACGGCCCAAACUCCUACGGGAGGCAGCAGUAGGGAAUCUUAGGCAAUGGACGAAAGUCUGACCGAGCAACGCCGCGUGAGUGAAGAAGGUUUUCGGAUCGUAAAACUCUGUUGGUAGAGAAGAACGUUGGUGAGAGUGGAAAGCUCAUCAAGUGACGGUAACUACCCAGAAAGGGACGGCUAACUACGUG